AUUGAACGCUGGCGGCAGGCUUAACACAUGCAAGUCGAGCGAGCGGCGGACGGGUGAGUAAUGUCUGGGAAACUGCCUGAUGGCGGGGGAUAACUACUGGAAACGGUAGCUAAUACCGCAUACCAUCAGAUGGGCCCAGAUGGGAUUAGCUAGUAGGUGGGGUAAUGGCUCACCAAGGCGACGAUCCCUAGCUGGUCUGAGAGGAUGACCAGCCACACUGGAACUGAGACACGGCCCAGACUCCUACGGGAGGCAGCAGUGGGGAAUAUUGCACAAUGGGGGAAAGCCUGAUCCAGCCAUGCCGCGUGUGUGAAGAAGGCCUUCGGGUUGUAAAGCACUUUCAGCGAGGAGGCGGUACUCGCAGAAGAAGCACCGGCUAACUACGUGCCAGCAGCCGCGGUAAUUC
rnacentral:rRNA from 1 species